UACAGGGGUGGCAAGCGUUGUUCGGAAUUACUGGGCGUAAAGGGCGCGUAGGCGGCCAUCUAAGUCAGACGUGAAAUCCCCCGGCUUAACCUGGGAACUGCGUCUGAUACUGGACGGCUUGAGUAUGGGAGAGGGAUGUAGAAUUCCAGGUGUAGCGGUGAAAUGCGUAGAUAUCUGGAGGAAUACCGGUGGCGAAGGCGGCAUCCUGGACCAUUACUGACGCUGAUGCGCGAAAGCUAGGGGAGCAAACGGG
rnacentral:rRNA from 1 species